UACAGAGGCCUCGAGCGUUUAGGACGGAAGUCAACUGGGCUUAAAGCGUGUGUAGGCGGACUUCUAAAGUACCUUGUGAAAUCCCACAGCUUAACUGUGGAACUGCUUGGUAUACUGGGUUGUCUUGAGUCAUCUAGGGGCGAGCGGAACAAGUGGUGGAGCGGUGAAAUGCGUAGAUAUCAACUUGGAACGCCAACGGUGAAAACAGCUCGCUGGGGAUGUACUGACGCUGAGACACGAAAGCCAGGGGAGGCAAACGGG
rnacentral:rRNA from 1 species